AGGCACCACACAGGCCAUGUUUGGUCUUAGAUGUGUCCCACCAACUUAGAAGCCCCAACCAGUGAAAGUUUUGCUUUGAACUAAUGAUAGGAAGGGUUGAGGGUUUUUUUUUUUUAAUUGUUGUUGUUGUUGGCUGGUAUUUUUGGGUCUUUUUUUUUCUAUUCACUUUGUUUUCCCCUCUUGUCUUUAUAAAGCCAAGCCAUCAGUUCCAGUCUUGUUAUUUCCAAAAAGGCCUGAAGCCAGUCUUGCAAAGAGGUGGUGGUGGCCAUGCAGUUGGAUACCUGGAACUCUUAGCUCUCUGCAGGAUGCCAGGGCACCAAAGGCUGGAAGCCUUAGCCGUGCCUUGUCAGGAAAAACUCUGUGGAGGCUCGUCUGUAGUAAACAGUGGUUACAGGGAGCCGGUCUGUGCCAAAUCGAGGACACGCAGCUGCCAGAUCUUGAAUACAAACCUUAAAACCUCACAAACAUCAAGUUCCAGAGGAGUCUCCAAGUCCUAGAACUUCUAUGACACUGUUGGCUUCAGGAAAACUGGUCACUUCAGAGCCCAAUGCUAAGGACCCCUAUUUCCCAAAAUUGUGAUCUUAAGCAAGCUGCACCUCCAUUUUGCCCAUCGGUCUAAAAACAAUACAGCCAUGAUGAGAUGGACCUCAGAGGGUGAGAAGUGUUUGGCUCUGUCUGGAAUGUAGAAAAUUCUAGUUAAAUGUUGGCUACCAAAAUUAUGACAGCUGUUUAGAAUCC
rnacentral:lncRNA from 1 species